rnacentral:tRNA from 3 species
GGGGCUGUGGCCUAGUCUGGUCUUAGGGCGUCUCCCUGUCACGGAGAAGGUCGCGGGUUCAAAUCCCGUCAGCCCCG